rnacentral:lncRNA from 1 species
GCUGCAAUUCCCACUCCACAGUGGCUAUCACAGACGCAGGCAAAAUCCCAGCUCUGCCAGCCAUCUCAGCUCCCAUGUUACGGUCCCAUUAUUUUGGCCCUACCCAUCUUGUUCUAUUUCCAGUCCCAGGACCCAGCUCCAACGUCCAUAUCACAGGCCUACAGUGAUUCCUGCACACAGAUCCUACAGUGGCUAUGACAUUAUCAGUCCCUAUCCCAGCCCACAGUGAUUUCAGCUCUAGCCCUGGAGAGCCCUUCCCAGCCCCAGUGAUUUCAGCUCUUGGCCCACAAGCUUUAUUUCACUGCAUGCUCUCUUCUUCCAGCUCCAGAUGCGUGUUUCUUCAAUGCUGCUGGCAGAAACUUCUCCAGCUCCAGAUGCGUGUUUCUUCAAUGCUGCUGGCUGAAACUUCUCCAGUCACAGGACCCAGCCCCAACAUCCAUAUCACAGCCUACAGUGAUUCCUGCACACAGAUCCUACAGUGGCAAUCCCAGUAUCAGUCCCUAUCCCAGCCCCACAGUGAUUUCAGCUCUAGCCCUGGAGAGCCCUUCCCAGCCCCAGUGAUUUCAGCUCUUGGCCCACAAGCUUUAUUUAACUGCAUGCUCUCUUCUUCCAGCUGCAGAUGCGUGUUUCUUCAAUGCUGCUGGCAGAAACUUCUCCAGCUCCAGAUGCGUGUUUCUUGAAUGCUGCUGGCAGAAACUUCUCCAGCACCAGAUGCGUGAUUCUGCAAUGCUGCUGGCUGAAACUUCUCCAGGUACAAGGCGCAGGAUCUUCCUCCUGUCUCCAGCUCGGCAACAUUUCAGCUCCCACCCUUGGGCCUAGAAGCCCACCCCACAGUCAAUGUCCCCGCCCCACUGUGAAUUCAGCACCAGCGCUACAGUGGCUAUCAAAGACGCAGGCAAAAUCCCUAACGCGUUUCAGCUCCCCUGCUACGGUCCCAUUAUUUUGCCCCUACCCAUCUUGUUCUAUUUCCAAUCACAGGACCCAGCCCCAACAUCCAUAUCACAGGCCUACAGUGAUUCCAGCACACAGAUCCUACAGUGGCAAUCCCAUUAGCAGUCCCUAUCCCAGCCCACAGUGAUUUCAGCUCUAGCCCUGGAGAGCCCUUCCCAGCCCCAGUGAUUUCAGCUCUUGGCCCACAAGCUUUAUUUAAC